GUCCUGAAAACCUUACUAGAAAACGAUUAGCUGGACGUGACCAUGGAAAAAAUGUCACAUGUCUCAGGGAGCCAUAUUUGCAAUAUCUGCAAACUAAUUAAUAUCAAGCAGUGUUCUACGUCACUCAAAGGAGUUCGCCAAAAUCAUUGAAGCCAAAACCAAACAAGCGCAAAUGUUCAAGAACACAGGAACAGCAAAGCGCAUGAAAAAGUAUAUAUUAUUAGAGAGAUAUUGCAACAUGAAUUAGAACUCCAGAGCCGGUCGGGCCGGUUUUGUGGAGCAUGAUUGACCCCAUCUCCUCGGCCGAGUUAAAUCAAUGAAGCCAGGACAAGACGGGAUGGUACUGAGUCAACUAAACCAGCUAAAUGGUGAAGAGCUGAGAGCAAGGUUCAACCAGCGGCUUCUGGCGGG